rnacentral:rRNA from 1 species
AAUGAACGUUGGCGGCGUGGAUUAGGCAUGCAAGUCGAGCGGGAGUAGCAAUACUCUAGCGGCGUAAGGGACAGGAAAACGUAGAUUACCUACCCUCCGGUUCAGGAUAGCUGCGGGAAACUGCAGGUAAUACUGAAUAAUGUCUCCGGACCAAAGGUGUGAUUCCACCAGAGGAUGGGUCUGCGUCCUAUUAGCUAGUUGGCGGGGUAACGGCCCACCAAGGCAAUGAUGGGUAGCAGGUGUGAGAGCACGACCUGCGUCACUGGGACUGAGACACUGCCUAGACACCUACGGGAGGCUG